UACGUAGGGGGCAAGCGUUGUUCGGAAUUACUGGGCGUAAAGGGCGCGUAGGCGGCCCGGCAAGUCGGGAGUGAAAGCCCGGGGCUCAACCCCGGAGGGUCUUCCGAAACUGCCGAGCUAGAGUGCGGAAGAGGCAACCGGAAUUCCCAGUGUAGCGGUGAAAUGCGUAGAUAUUGGGAAGAACACCGGAGGCGAAGGCGGGUUGCUGGGCCGACACUGACGCUGAGGCGCGAAAGCCAGGGGAGCAAACGGG
rnacentral:rRNA from 1 species